rnacentral:rRNA from 1 species
GACAGAGGGUGCAAACGUUGUUCGGAAUUACUGGGCGUAAAGCGCGUGUAGGCUGCUCGGUAAGUCGGAUGUGAAAGCCCUGGGCUCAACCUAGGAAGUGCAUUCGAAACUUCCGAGCUGGAGUGCUGGAGAGGAAGGCGGAAUUCUCGGUGUAGAGGUGAAAUUCGUAGAUAUCGAGAGGAACACCGGUGGCGAAGGCGGCGUUCUGGACAGCCACUGACGCUGAGACGCGAAAGCGUGGGGAGCAAACAGG